rnacentral:rRNA from 1 species
AGAGUUUGAUCCUGGCUCAGGACGAACGCUGGCGGCACGCUUAACACAUGCAAGUCGAACGAGAGAAGAGGAGCUUGCUUUUCUGAUCUAGUGGCGGACGGGUGAGUAACGCGUGAGCAAUCUGCCUUUCAGAGGGGGAUACCGAUUGGAAACGAUCGUUAAUACCGCAUAACAUAAUUGAACCGCAUGAUUUGAUUAUCAAAGAUUUAUCGCUGAAAGAUGAGCUCGCGUCUGAUUAGCUAGUUGGUAAGGUAACGGCUUACCAAGGCGACGAUCAGUAGCCGGACUGAGAGGUUGAUCGGCCACAUUGGGACUGAGACACGGCCCAGACUCCUACGGGAGGCAGCAGUGGGGAAUAUUGCACAAUGGAGGAAACUCUGAUGCAGCGAUGCCGCGUGAGGGAAGAAGGUUUUAGGAUUGUAAACCUCUGUCUUCAGGGACGAAAAAAGACGGUACCUGAGGAGGAAGCUCCGGCUAACUACGUGCCAGCAGCCGCGGUAAUACGUAGGGAGCGAGCGUUGUCCGGAAUUACUGGGUGUAAAGGGAGCGUAGGCGGGAUCGCAAGUCAGAUGUGAAAACUAUGGGCUUAACCCAUAAACUGCAUUUGAAACUGUGGUUCUUGAGUGAAGUAGAGGUAAGCGGAAUUCCUAGUGUAGCGGUGUAAUGCGUAGAUAUUAGGAGGAACAUCAGUGGCGAAGGCGGCUUACUGGGCUUUAACUGACGCUGAGGCUCGAAAGCGUGGGGAGCUAACAGGAUUAGGUACCCUGGUAGUCCACGCCGUAAACGAUGAUUACUAGGUGCGGGGGGACUGACCCCUUCCGUGCCGCAGCAAACGCAAUAAGUAAUCCACCUGGGGAGUACGACCGCAAGGUUGAAACUCAAAGGAAUUGACGGGGGCCCGCACAAGCAGUGGAGUAUGUGGAUUAAUUCGAAGCAACGCGAAGAACCUUACCAGGUCUUGACAUCGUAUGCAUAGCUCAGAGAUGAGUGAAAUCUCUUCGGAGACAUAUAGACAGGUGGUGCAUGGUUGUCGUCAGCUCGUGUCGUGAAAUGUUGGGUUAAGUCCCGCAACGAGCGCAACCCUUACUGUUAGUUGCUACGCAAGAGCACUCUAGCAGGACUGCCGUUGACAAAACGGAGGAAGGUGGGGAUGACGUCAAAUCAUCAUGCCCCUUAUGACCUGGGCCUCACACGUACUACAAUGGCUGUCAACAGAGGGAGGCAAAGCCGCGAGGUGGAGCGAACCCCUAAAAGCAGUCUUAGUUCGGAUUGUAGGCUGCAACCCGCCUACAUGAAGUCGGAAUUGCUAGUAAUCGCAGAUCAGCAUGCUGCGGUGAAUACGUUCCCGGGCCUUGUACACACCGCCCGUCACGCCAUGGGGGUCGGUAACACCCGAAGCCUGUAGUCUAACCGCAAGGAGGACGCAGUCGAAGGUGGGAUUGAUGACUGGGGUGAAGUCGUAACAAGGUA